AGGGUAUGAUACCGGCUCAGAACGAACGCUGGCGGCGUGGAUAAGACAUGCAAGUCGCGCGAGAAAGGGAUCUUCGGAACCCGAGUAAAGCGGCGAAAGGGUCAGUAAUACAUAGAUAACCUGUCCUCAGGAUCGGCACAACCCUUCGAAAGUGGGGCUAAUUCCGGAUGUGAUGCCAGUUCGCCUGUUCUGGCAUGAAAGGCGGGGACCUUCGGGCCUGUCGCCUGUGGAGGGGUCUAUGUCCUAUCAGCUAGUUGGCGGGGUAAUAGCCCACCAAGGCAUACGGGUACGGGGCCUGAGAGGGUGUUCCCGGACACUGGGACUGAGACACUGCCCAGACUCCUACGGGAGGCUGCAGUCGAGAAUCAUUCGCAAUGGGCGCAAGCCUGACGAUGCGACGCCGCGUGUGGGAUGGAGGCCUUCGGGUUGUAAACCACUGUCGCAGGGGAAGAAACGCACGGAUUUGAUAACGGUCCGUGCCUGACGUUACCCUGAAAGGAAGCCACGGCUAACUCCGUGCCAGCAGCCGCGGUCAUUCGGAGGUGGCAAGCGUUGUUCGGAAUCACUGGGCGUAAAGGGCGCGUAGGCGGUUCGUCGUGUCUGGUGUGAAAUCCCCCGGCUCACCCGGGGAAUUGCGCCGGAAACUGGCGGACUUGAGUGCAGGAGAGGAGCGCGGAAUUCCUGGUGGAGCGGUGAAAUGCGUAGAUAUCAGGAGGAACGCCAGUGGCGAAAGCGGCUCUCUGGCCUGCUACUGACGCUGAGGCACGAAAGCCAGGGGAGCGAACGGGAUUAGAUACCCCGGUAGUCCUGGCUGUAAACGAUGGGCACUACGUAGUGGGGGUUCUAACACCUUCACUGCCGGAGUUAACGUAUUAAGUGCCCCGCCUGGGGACUACGGCCGCAAGGCUAAAACUCAAGGUAAUUGACGGGGGCUCACACAAGCGGUGGAGCAUGUUGCGUAAUCGAGACAACGCGAAGAACCUUACCAGGGCUUGACAUGCACGGAUUAGACCGUCGAAAGGCGGUUGACGCCCUUGAGGUGGAACGUGCACAGGUGUUGCAUGGCUGUCGUCAGCUCGUGCCGUGAGGUGUCGGGUUAAGUCCCACAACGAGCGAAACCCUUAUCCCUAGUUGCCAGCGAGUCAUGUUGGGGACUCUAGGGAGACUGCCAGUGUUAAACUGGAGGAAGGUGAGGAUGACGUCAAGUCAUCAUUGCCCUUAUGUCCUGGGCUGCAAACGUGCUACAAUGGCCGGUACAAAGGGUCGCGAGACCGCGAGGUGGAGCCAAUCCCAAAAAGCCGGCCCCAGUUCGGAUUGAAGGCUGCAACUCGCCUUCAUGAAGUUGGAAUCGCUAGUAAUCGCGGAUCAGCAACGCCGCGGUGAAUGUGUUCCUGAGCCUUGUACACACCGCCCGUCAAGUCAUCCGAGUGGAUCGCACCCGAAGCCGCUAACGCGUCGAAGGUGCGGUUCGCGAGGAGGACUAAGUCGAAACAAGGUAGCCGUACGGGAACGUGCG
rnacentral:rRNA from 1 species